GGCGGUGUGGACGGGGAGUGGGAAAGCGGGCCGCGCGAACCGGGGGUUGUGGACCCGGGAGCGGACGGCGGGGGCUGGGCAGCAGGUCGUAAGCUGUGUGGACCGGGAGUGGGAGAGCGGAUGAUGUGGAUUGGAGAGCAGCGAGGCGUGGAUGGUGAUGCGGGGGGCAAGGGCGGCGUGGACCGAGAGCGGCAGGGAGCAGGCAGUGUAGACCGGGCUUGGGAAAGUGGGUGGUGUGGCUCCCGGAGCUGGCGAUGUGGAUCGGGUAGUGGGAAAGCGGGCGGUGAAGACAGGAGAGUGGCGAGGCGCCAGUGGUUGAUAGAGGAAAAGGACGGCGUGGACGGAGAGCGGCAGGGGGCAGGCGGCUUAAACCCGGAGUGGGAGAGUGGGUGGCGUGGCGCCGGGAGCGGACCGUGUGGAUGGCGAGGCGGAGGGCAGGGGCGGCGUGGAUCCGGACCGGCCUGGGAGAAGCGGGGCUGGCUCUGCUGCCCCUUCCCCGGAGGCGUGGCUGGUGUGACCCUGGCAGCGACGCAUGACCAUUACAAAUAUCGAUUCUACCCCUGUGCUGCACAAACCCACAGCCCACAGCUCCCGGGGCCCCUAAAGUUCCACUGAUAAACUGCAAGAAGAGACAAGCAGAUGGAAAAAGGAUUUGAAGUUGACAUCAGACAGGACUCAUUUGCCUCCUACACGGGAAGCUCCUAGGAAUCAACAGGAAAAAGCACGACAGCUAUUGGGUGUGUGAUGUGGAGAUGCCGUCCUUCUUGGAAAAUGCACUCUGAAGAAGUCAGGGUGGAACACGACGUCUCCAGCAAUCGAUCAGUUGAUCGCUAGAUGAUAGGUGCGCUGUCCUGAGCCCUGGGGAUACGCCCAGGAGCCCGCGUAGGAGGCCGUGAUCUGGGGUCAAGUGACAAGCACUUGGAAGAGGUGCCCCGUGCUCUGCGUCAUCCUUGGUGGCCGAAGCUGCUUCGCGGAGCAGACCCCACCGUACGUGCCUCGGGCUGUCAUGAAAUGUCUGUUUCGGGCUUGUUUCUGACUCACAAGACCUCAACUUUGUGCACCUCGACCUGCCUGCAGGAUGUCAGCUAGCGGAACGGAAUACAAAAACAGCAGCGGCAAUGACUCUUCAAAGACCCAGGGCGAGCUCGCGUAGCCACGGGGCCCGGAACCCACUACACGAACUCCCUCUGGCAUGCUGCUGCCCGGGGCCCCCCCAGCAGGGUCCGGGAGCCUUUCGGGCCAGCCUGUGGCGCUCCUCGCGUGUGCGUGUAGGCGUGGAGGGCUUCUGGAGGAGGAGCCUUGUGGCUCUCUGGCAGUCGACUAUUUUCCUGACAGAGCCCAUGGAUGCUUCGGUAGCCGUGACACAGACCAAAGCCACCGGUGUCUGUCCAGAGGGGACGAAGGGCGCCUGCUGGCUCUCCCACGUGAAAUGCGUGUGGACGGCGGUGGAGUCUGACCCGCCCUGUCUGUGGACAAAGCAGCACGCCCGUGACUUUAAGGGAUCUUAAUUGGAUCUGGGGCCAGGGGAGAACUUGCCCUUGGCUCUGUCCGGGCUCAGCCGCAGAACAAGGCUCGAGAGCCCCAAGGUAUAGGCUGAAUGUCAUCUGAUCGGAGCUGCUGGAAAGAUCUUUUGGUUUUUUUUCCAUUUUCUCCUUGGAUAUAGUCAAACGGCCUAUUGGGAAGAAUCAUGGGGACGUUUCUACAAACGUCUAACGUGGAGAGGCUGCGUGCGGGGGGUUUUCCGGACCGCGGGAAGGGGAGUACAGACGUGUGAGCGGCUUCACUCCUGCCGCGAGCCUGAGGUGCCGCAUCUGGGGACCACGAAGGUCCGUUCCCAGAGCUGUUCAGGUCCCCCUAAGAAUGCAGCGUAUCACGAGAAGUCACCAGUUAGGGCGUGUUAUUGCACCAACCGCGGCCACCAACCGGACUGGACUUUGGCCAGCGGGGGGGGGCAUUACACUGGUACCUGCUGAUUAAUUACCCCGGCAUGGUGACAGGCUCCAGCCGGAGGGUCGCAGGGGCCGAGGGAGUGUUUCUGACACGGGGACCUGCUUUAGGUUAAGCGUGGAGUCCCUGAAGGGCAUAUUAAUGUGGGCUCUCACCUGGAACAGAGGAGGGGAAGGCGGGAUCCGUUCUGUCAACUUAGAGUGCUCUGACCCCACGCCCCCGGUCUCCCCAGGGGAACGGAAGCCCGAGGGGGGGCAGGCUGGCCCCAUCCCCGGGUCAGCUGGAGGCCAGCAGUAACAGGUGCUGUCCUGGAGGGCCCCGUCCCCUAAGCCCGUCCUAGGUGUCCCCGCACUGGAAUUUGGUCUGGGGUCUGGAGCCAGGGUCUGAGGUGUGAGCAGGGGUGCUGUUCUGGGUGGGGUCGCGUCCCUCCAGAAUUCCUGUGUUGGGGUCCUAAUCCCCAGCACCUCAGAAUGUGGCCUUAUCUUACAGACGGGGUCCUUACAGAGGUGAUUCAUCCACAGGGCGUCAAGGCAGGUACCACACCAGCGUGGCUGUGCCCUACAGAAAGAAGAGAUGUGGACAGGCACGCCCACGGGGAGCGUGCCAGGUGGAGGCAGGGAUGGGGUGACGCUUCGAUAAGCCAAGGAAGGCCAGAGACACUGACAAACACCAGAGGCCUGGCGAGAGCAUCCUGGCCCACAGGAGCCACCAGCCCUGCCCACGCCUCGACCUCGGGCUUCUGGCCUCCAGAGCUGGGGGGACUGUCCACUGCUGAGCACAAGGCUGUGUGGAUCGCAAGAGGCCAGCCCGCCCUGCAGGGCACAGCGUCUGGUUCUCGAGAAGCAUGGGUUUGCACCAGAUUCCGAGGGAAACCUGAGCGCGGGGAGAGGCAAGAGGUAGGUAGGUGUUCAGGUUAAAGGGAAUCGGCACGUCGUCAAGCAACCCCUUUAACUCGUUUCAAUGAAAUCGCACUUGAAAUAACUAAAAUUCGAAUUCCUGCCAUACCACGAUGGCGUAUCAAGGACCCCCAACCUGUGAAUAACACUGGAAAAGCAGAAA